GCUUACGGCCAUACCUCUCUGGCUCCGCCUGAUCUCGUCUGAUCUCAGAAGCUAAGCAGAGUAGGGCCUGGUUAGUAGCAGAAGCUAAGCAGAGUAGGGCCUGGUUAGUACUUGGAUGGAAGACCGCCUGGGAAUCCCAGGUGCCGUAAGCU
rfam:Gasterosteus aculeatus cont1.016721, whole genome shotgun sequence.